AACGAACGCUGGCGGCGUGCUUAACACAUGCAAGUCGAGCGCGAAAGGGGGGGCAACUCCCCGAGUAGAGCGGCGCACGGGUGAGUAACGCGUGGGUAACCUACCUCCGGGCGGGGGAUAACUACUCGAAAGGGUGGCUAAUACCGCAUGAGACCACGGGGUCUUCGGAUCCUGAGGCCAAAGAUGGCAUCGGCUUGCCGGUGCUGUCACCUGGAGAUGGGCCCGCGUACGAUUAGCUAGUUGGCGAGGUAACGGCUCACCAAGGCUACGAUCGUUAGCUGGUCUGAGAGGAUGGCCAGCCACACUGGAACUGAAACACGGUCCAGACUCCUACGGGAGGCAGCAGUGAGGAAUAUUGCGCAAUGGGGGAAACCCUGACGCAGCAACGCCGCGUGGGUGAAGAAGGCCUUCGGGUCGUAAAGCCCUUUCGGACGGGACGAACGUUUCGCGGGGCUAAACCGCGAAGCUUGACGGUACCGUAAGAAGAAGCACCGGCUAACUCCGUGCCAGCAGCCGCCGUAA
rnacentral:rRNA from 1 species